CACGUAGGGUGCGAGCGUUGUCCGGAAUUACUGGGCGUAAAGCGUGCGCAGGCGGCUUUGCAAGACAGAUGUGAAAUCCCCGGGCUCAACCUGGGAACUGCAUUUGUGACUGCAUAGCUGGAGUGCGGCAGAGGGGGAUGGAAUUCCGCGUGUAGCAGUGAAAUGCGUAGAUAUGCGGAGGAACACCGAUGGCGAAGGCAAUCCCCUGGGCCUGCACUGACGCUCAUGCACGAAAGCGUGGGGAGCAAACAGG
rnacentral:rRNA from 1 species